ACUCAUGGACAGCUCGGGGAAGAAGAAGGAAAGGGAGAGGAUAAGGCUAACAUGCAGGCCUAGGAUGUCAGCGACUGGAAGAGAGGGAGAGCGCGCACAUAGGCCGGGGAACUAGGCCAGCUGGGCCGAGGUCACACGAGCGGCCUGCGAAUGGGAAAGGGAGUGGGAAAAUAGGUGGAAAAGCUGGGCCGCGUGAUUGCGAACAGAACCAGGCCUCCGGGCC
rnacentral:lncRNA from 1 species